GUGAAAGUGGUAAUUAUUGUCCUACCAAUAGAAGGAAGAGAGAGCAAUAAACUGCACUUCUUUUUCUUUUUCUGUUUCUAUUUUCCAAUACUGAUUGGAAUUUCAAGUUUCAGCUUUUGGUCUUAUUUGAAGUUCUAACCUAAUGGUUUCCAUGGUAUAUGGUUCAUUUAUUAUCCAUUUCUUGAAUGGAUUCCAGCAACCCUGGAUAUAUUUGCUUAAUUUUCAUGUCACUAGAUUUCUUUGUUUAUCUUUUAUUAAUAUGCCUAGAAAAAAUAUAAGAAAUAUUUAUUAUACAACAGUGAGCUCGUAUAAUACCUUAUUGUAGAAAUAUUCAUCAACACCACUGUUUUGGGUACACCUACUGAAACAGGGUGGUCCAGUAUUGAUGACACAUUGUCUGUGCACUGCAUGCAAUUAGGGAUGAAGCCAGAAUUUUUAACUAAAGGGGGCCAAGGCAGUUUGUUCUGUUAUAUUUUUGGUGAUAUAACCAACAUGCUGUAAAUAAUAUUUAUAUGAUAUAAUUUAAUACUUUUAAACAUAAAAAUUAUACAAAGAAGAUGUAAAUGAGGAAAAUGGCAAGUGAAUGAAUUAUGGACUUGAUCCACAAUGAUAUGAAGUUAGAACUGCAUAAUUAAAUUUGAUAAUUUUUCUUUGCUUUGCCUUUCUUCUCUAUAUAUAUUCUCCUUUUCCUCCACUUUAUAAUGUUUCCAGUCCUCAAAUGCAAUGUGAUAUUUUAACCUUUUGUCUUGUAACUGCACUUCAAAAUUUUCAUACAAGUCAAAAAGUAAAGUGUUCAAAUUCAAUAUUGGAGCAAGAUUAAUUCUUCAAAAUGAAGUUGUGUUAUAUAUAUAUAUAUAUA
rnacentral:misc_RNA from 1 species